rnacentral:piRNA from 7 species
CGACUGCAUAAUUUGUGGUAGUGGGGG